rnacentral:rRNA from 1 species
UACGAAGGGGGCUAGCGUUGUUCGGAAUUACUGGGCGUAAAGCGCAUGCAGGCGGAUCGCUAAGUCAGGGGUGAAAGCCCGAGGCUCAACCUCGGAACUGCCUUUGAUACUGGCGAUCUUGAGUCCGGGAGAGGUGAGUGGAACUCCGAGUGUAGAGGUGAAAUUCGUAGAUAUUCGGAAGAACACCAGUGGCGAAGGCGGCUCACUGGCCCGGUACUGACGCUGAGAUGCGAAAGCGUGGGGAGCAAAC